rnacentral:lncRNA from 1 species
GCUAGGCCGAGGAGGAGUCACCCGCUGCCCAAAGGGUUUUAGCGAACUGCGCCCGCCCCCACCAGGACCGGAGUCCGCACCCCCAGGCUGGGCGCAGUCUCUGGGGUUCCUUCCGGUUCACACCCUCUGUCACUCCGAGAUCCUCUGGACUCCAGAGCGAGGAACCCUGGGUCUUUGUACACGUGUCUGUUUAAGCGGUUGCGUCGCAAAUUUACAUAUAUCUGCAUGUCAUUAACAUAGAGGCGGAGCCGGAACUUGUUUGGGCAACUAUCCCUGGACAGUUCCCCUGGCUUUGCUUUCAUCCCAUCUGAGGGCCACCUGGACUGCGCAUGCCUCCCAACAUGGCAGGAGAAACUUCCAGAUGUCAGGGCAGACCGGAUUCCAGCUGAGAUGAGAAUUAUUGGCCAGAUCAGAGUCCUCCAUCUGCUCUAAAGAAAUGGACCUGAAGGUUCUUCUGAUCUGAAAGAAGUUCCCAUGGAAAACCCUCAGACUGGGAAGCUGAGGCAGGAGGAUGCUGUCUUAGUGUUACUGCUUCUGUAAUGAGACCAUCAUGACCACAAGC